rnacentral:misc_RNA from 1 species
GUAGGUGAACCUGCGGAAGGAUCAUUAUCGUGGGGCUUCGGCCCCGUCGAGAAAGCACCCUUGCCUUUACCGUACCAUGGGAUCGACCCCCUCCGGUUCUCCGGGGUGUGGGGCGACCCUGCCCAUUUUCCUCGGCUGGUUCCCCAGCCAGGGGCGACCCUUUGAGGAAGACCAAACACGCUGCAACCACCUGUAACCGCCUGAUAAAACAAACAAAAAUCAAAACUUUCAACAACGGAUCUCUUGGUUCUG